CUGCUAAGCCAGGUUUUGGCAGACAUCCAGCAGUUUUGGCCUCAGGCUGUCUUCUUAGAACUUGGGAGUCAAGGCCUGGCCUUGGAUAGCUGGGCCAAUUAUGCUGGGGGACCCAGCUGGCAUUUCUGUUUGUCAACAGUGGUUUCUGGUGUCUUUCUCCUUAGUUGACCACUCCCUGCCUGUCCAGGAGCCACAGAAGUUCAGGAGAUGUCCCAGGGCAGGCCCUCAACAGAGUGAGGAUUAUGAAACCAAAUCAGAUAUCAAGGAGUCGGUUCCAAAGCAGGAAGUAUCAGAAGAAACAGAGAUACACUGAGCCACCUCCAGAGCACUUUGGAAUAAUGAUUCCCAAGAAUUCAAGAUUGGAGUACUCAAAAAUUGGGAAGACAGUUUGAAUAUUCCUCAGAGAGAUCCUUCCAGGGAGAUGCUGAGGACGAGGACUAGAAGUAUAAAGCCAGCAGAAAUCAAGGAUGUAAAAAUCUCCCUAGAGAAGGAAAGCCAGAAAGGUCAGCAUCUCAUAAAUACUAGGAAGUAUGUGAGAGGUCAUGGAUGCUUCACUGCUGGAAAUCUGGGUCCACAAACUCACUCUGCUUGUAUGGUGUUUUAUUCACUUGCCUUAUUUUUGUAUGUGUGCCUCCAGUCAGAUUUGGAGUUCCAAGAGGUAGAUGCCAGGUCCUGUCUUCCGGUUUGAUUGACAGGAAACCGAGGAGCUCUUCAUUUCUACAAAGUUGAUUAAAUAUUAAUUCAUUGAGAAAUUCCUCGUAUCAAGAAACUCUUAAUCUGAUAAUCUUGCAAGAUCCCACCUGCUUUGAAGAUUUGUAGUUUUUCCAACAUAACUCCGGCACAUUAAAGCUUACUGUACUUUUCAAUGUUAUUUCAAAGCUUUAAUGUGCUAGAGUUGGGCAGCUUAGAAGGCCCACUGUGAGCAGUACUAAAAUUUAGAAUGUCAUAUUCUCAUUCAAAUGUAGGCUGCCUUUAGGAAUGACCAAAACAGCAAAGGAUACAUAGGAUGAUAGAGUCAUCAAUCAAAGGAACCCUACCAGACCAGAACUGCAGACCAGAGUUAACAAGAUGAAGUAUUAAACCCUGUCCAUAGGGCUAAGGAGUCUGAGCCUCUCAGAACAGAAGUGUUCUGACAGAAACAUCGCAGUCCUUGACCAUUAGACAUGCUAGAAGGGUGUCUUUAAAAUUAUCCUUCUCUCUCAUCUUCAGUCGCUGGCUGCUCAGGGCUGAGAUCCUAGUCUUAGGGCCUGUUCUCUUCUCUCUAGACCAUAUAGCUUGACUUUUCCUUACAAGGAAAUAAAACAGAUCAUGUGUGUGUAUAAAAUUAAAAAGUAAUAUCCUAAUCUGCCACUUACACAAAAAGAGAUUUAUUACCUUUAAAGGAAAAAUAUAAUAGGAAUGCAGUAUGUCUCAGUAUGUGCAGUCAUGUGCCACAUAAUGAUGUUUACAACAGACCACAUAUUUGAUGGUAGUCUUACAAGGUUGUAAUGGAGCUGAGAAAUUCCUGUGGCCUAGUGACUCUGCAGCUGUCGUAAUGUGAUAGCACAAUGCAGUACUCACAUGUUUGUGGUGAUGCUGGUGUAAACAAGCCGACCGUGCUGCCAGUUAUGUAAAAGGACAGCACAUGCAGUUAUGUACAGUGUGUAAUAUUUGAUAAUAAAGACUGCUACUGGUUUAUGUAUUUACUGUACUUUUCAUUGUUAUUUCAAAGUGUGCUCCUUCCACUUAUUUUUUUCAAAGUUUACUGUAAAACAGUAUGCUGUGUUUGUCCAGCAGCAGCCUCAUAUAUCUCAUGUUUACCACAUCUCUUGACUGCAUCAUUUCCUCUUGUGCUUGAUUUAAUCUCAUGUUUUGUUCAUCAUGUCCCCUAAGCAUUCAAAAUCCAUGGCUAAUUUUGCCAGUAAGAGGCCGUGUUGAAUAAUUGACCUGGAAACAAAAUUAGAAGUGAUUAAGGACUGUGAAGGUGGAAAAUCAGGGAUGGUUAUUGCUCACCAGUCAGGCAUGUCCCAUUUUACCACAGCUGCCAUCCUAAAGUACAAGAGCAAAGUGAUAGAAGCUAUUAAAGGAUCUGCUUCAUUGAAGGCAAUGAGACUAAUAAUUUGAGAUGGGCCAAUAUCAGAUAUGGAUAAACUUCUAAUGACCUAGAUUGAAGACCAGACACAGAAGCAUGUCCCUCUCAGCACCAUGACAAUCACAGCUAAAGCAAAAAGCUUGUUUGUUAUGUUGAUAGAAAAGGCUGGACCUGACUAUAUUGUUGAAUUUAUUGCUAGCUCUGGGUGGUUUAAACGAUUCAAGAAUUUUUAUUCAUUACACAAUUGUGAAAGUGAGUGGUAAGUUUAUGAGUACUGAUGUGAAGGCAGCAGAAGAAUUUUUGGAAACUCUAGGUAAGCUGAUUGUGGAGGAAAAUUACUUCCCAGAGCAAAUGUUUAAUAUGGAUCAAACCUCCCUAUUCUGAAAACAGAUGCCUGAAGGGACUUUGAUCCAUAAGGAGGCCAAGUCAAUGGCAGGUUUCAAGGCUUUGAAGGACUGGAUAACAGUGUUUGGGGGCAAUGUUGUUGGCCACAAAUUGAAACUCUUUGUGAUUUGGCACAGUGAGAACCCCAGGGCCUUCAAGCAUAUCAGUAAGCACACACUGCCAGUGUACUACAGGAGCAAUAACAAGUCAUGGAUGACCCAGCUUCUCUUCCAAGAUGCCCUCCUGAAUUGCUAUUUCAGUGAAAUGGAGUACUGUUUGGAGAAUAACAUACCUUUCAAGAUUUUGCUUUUUGUUGAUAAUGCUCCUGUACAUCCUUUAGGUGAUCUUUGUCUUAAUAUCAAACUGGUGUUUCUCCCUUUAAGCAUCACCUCUUUGAUCCAACCAGUGGAUCAAGGAGUUAUAGCAGUUCUGAAGGCCCACUACCUAAGGAGGACGUUUCCCCAGGCUGUUGCUGCUGUUAUCUGAGGGAGACACUGAGAAGACACUGAUGCAAUUCUGGGAGGAUUACAGCAUCUAAGACUGCAUCAAGAACCUUGCUUGGGCUUAGGAUGAUGUCACCAAUAUGUGUAUGAAUGGCAUCUGGAAGAAGACAUUCGAAGUUUGUUCAUGACUUCAAAGGAUUUGCCAUGGAUGACCAGGUUGCAAAAAUUCACAAGGCUGUGGUUGAGAUGGGAAACAGCUUUAACCUGGGUGUGAAUGAGGAUGAUGCUGAGGAGCUCCUAGAGGUGGUUCCUGAGGAAUUGACUAAUGUUAGAAAUGGAACAGGGACACAGCUGAAGAAGAGGCAAGAGUAAAGGAAACUGCAGAAAACCACCAUCAAGAAAAUUCACAGUAGGGAGAUUAGCAGAAGCUUUUGCAGACCUCAAGAAACUCCUAAAAAAGUUUGGGCCGGGCGCAGUGGCUCAUGCCUGUAAUCCCAGCACUUUGGGAGGCCAUGGUGGGCAGAUCACGAGG